UUUAUGUUUAAGAAACUAAUAUUUUAACAAUUUUCUGUUUCGUUUGAGGAUGAACGGGAUCUAUCAAUUCCUUUUUUUUUUGGUGGCAACUAACUGGUUUACGGGAUGCAAUUCUAGAGCUGGAAGAUUUCUUUUGGCGGAUAAGGUUUUCCUGUCCGUCCGUAUUAGGGUCCGUUCGGGUGAACUAGGUUUUUCUUUCUCUUUUUUUUUUUUUUUAUAAAUAUAUAUGCCGAAGGCCACCUACAAUCUUAAACUCACGCGUUACUUUAUCUGAGGCCUGAGCUCAACCCUGUUCGCGCACGUUUGGAAACAAAAAAACCCCACAAACGGACUGAAAUCGAUUUGAUGAACGAUAGGUAAGCCUAGUAAUCGUAUAUAUAUCUAUUUAUUUUAACCUUUCUUCCUUUUUUUUUAUAGGAAAUUAUUUAAAAAGAACACUCGUCCGGUUCGUCUUGUCGUCCGGGUGCAAACUUAUAAAAGGUCGGAAAACCAAAAAUCUGAUACCGGAGCACCCCAGGCGUGAUGGUGCUGGAAAGCAGCUUCUCCCUCGUUGGAUGGAGUCGUGUUGCAGUGGCUUUUCAGGUUUGUUUGAUUGGUUUUAUUUUCUAUUUUAUAUUUGUAUAUUUAGUUUUAAGUUUAGCUUUAAGUUUAAAUUUAAGUUUAAAUUUAAGUUUAAAAUUCUUUUUUUUUUCUUUUAAUAAAAUUUAUUUAAUUGGUUAUAAAAAAAAUCAAAAA